CCAUGUACAACUACUCGGAAGAAUGCAGUCUCCAAGGUCCGCUGUGACCUUUUCUCCUGAGCUGUGGCAUCCUCAUCUGCUGUCUUUUGUCAUCUGACUCUCUACUGCACAGAAAUCAGCUACACUUUGAACUGAGCACCAACACAGUUAAGCACCAAGAUCUUCCAGGAGGACAGAGAUAGGAGUAACAUCAUGGCCUCCCUGGGUCUGCAGCUCCUUGCUUUCAUC
rnacentral:lncRNA from 1 species